GGGGUUGUGGCUCAGUAGUAGAGUGCUUGCCUUGCAUGCAUGAGGCACUGAGUUUGAUCUUCAGCACCA
rnacentral:tRNA from 1 species